UAAUAAGUCGGGUGGAGUCCGUCUUGAAAGAGAGCAGUGAUUGAUUGUGUGUGUGUGUUGAGAACCGUGAGACUGACUUUCAUCAAGCUGCUCCAAGCCGAUUAUGGCUCUUUCCGAAAGGUGUACUAACUGCAACCCACACGGCAAGAAGGAACAAACAGCCAUCACUGAGGGCGGCUUCCCAUGGCAGCGACACCACCACUGACGGAGCACGCGCACAGAGGAGACCCGGGUCUGAGCCCAGCAGCAAGAGAAGCCCAAACAGAGACUCCGUGAGUCAGGCAAGGGAAGCGUGCCUGUUCCUAUUUCAGAGAGGAGGAAAUGGAGGCUCCAAGGGUCUAGUUCACCUGUUCAAGGGGACACACAAGAUAAUGAAAUAGCUGGUGAGAAAAGCUUCAAGAAUCCCAGCAAGAUUGUCAGUCUCAGUGAAGCCUUUCUGCAAAACCAAGACCUGAGCUCAAGGAAGCUGCUAUUUAAAACCAGACGUGAGAGUCAAAGACAAUUAUCCAUUGAACAAGUACUUCAAAAUGGCACUAGGCAAGUUUUACUUCAUUGAAGUAUCACAAUCACUUCACGAAAUGUGUAAUGUUAUUUCCAUUCUACAGCUGGGUAAAGGCUUGAGGAUGUCACAUAGCUUGCCUGAAGUUCAAGUACAAGCAAAUGGAAAAGCCAGGGUUGGAAUCAAGUGACCACACUGUAUGCUUACCUACUCUCCCAUAUUGCCAAUAAAAUAAAGUCUAUCUGACCUCGC
rnacentral:lncRNA from 1 species